AUGGGCGGCCGCGCCUUGCGCCGGCCCCUGUUGCUGCCUUCACUCCCCGCGCGCCCUCCUCCCGCCUGGAUAAAAGGCCUCUGCUUCCACUGUCUCAAGCCUCGACAUCGCGCCGUGGAUUGCCGCGACCCUGUCACCUGCAGACGGUGCUUCCGCUCCGGCCACAUAGCGCGUGGCUGCACCCACGCUCCGCGCCCGCACCUGCGCCCCGGUGCUCCCUCGCCCGCUCUGCGUCGAGCUCCUCCUCCCGCGCCUGCUCGUGUCCGCCUGCCGGCGCCCACGCCCGUGCCUCCCCAAGCUGCCAUGGCUUCCCCCUCCGCUGCAUCUUCGGCCUGGGCUGGUGACCACAACGCCCGCCCGGAGGUGUUCGCCUUCAUCCACAACACCCCGGCCAUGCACAUGGAGGCGGCGCUCCUGGAAUCCAACGGAGUGGUGGCCUGGUUCGACCGCGACCGCCGUGCCUCCACCAAUGAGGUUGAUGCGGUCAUUGCGGACGAGGUUGGCGUCUUGGUGCCGGAUGUCAUCGUCGUCUCCCACUUCCCCGAGCGGUUCCUGGUACGUUUCAUCCACAAGCAUCAUGCUGACAUCGCCACAUCCCGCCGGGAGCUCCCGUUCGGCGACACCAAGCUUCAGAUGCGAGCCUGGCGCCUGGAAGCCCAUGCUGAGCAUGUCGACCUCCGCCACCACGUGCGCCUCUGCCUCGAGGGGCUGCCGCUGUACGCUUGGGACGAGGAGGCGGUUGCCAAGGCCGUCGGCUUCGGCUGCUCGCUGGACUACAUCGAGCCGGCAUCCAAGAUCAAGUUGGUGACCGAUGUGCUCGCUUUGUGGGCGUGGACGCCAUGCCCAAGCAGGGUGCCAAGGGUGAGCUGGGUCACUUUCCCCGCCCGCAACGGUGGCGCCCCAGUGUACGGGCGCAAGGGGCUGGAGCAUCGUGUCCUGGUCCACCUCGACAUCCAUGAAGAUCCAUCCUCCGGCAAAGUGAUGUCCAGGCCUAACCCCUGGAAAUCAAACAUCGUGGAUGGGGAGACGAUGCCGCGUGACAGGCGCGAGCGCAUCUCUCGUCCUAUUCUGCGGGACCGCCAAGACCGCAGGGACCGGGACGACGAAGGGGGCCGUGGCCGGGGGCGUGACGGCCGGGGCACGUCCAGAGGCGGGCAAGGCUGGGGCGACCGCAUCCGCUGGAGCCUCUCCCGUGCUCCGCGUGAUGCGCAGCGCGACACCGGUAGAGAACGCCGGGAUGGGCGUCAGGGGAGCCGCGAUGGUCGCCGCCGCGGCAACUCUGGGCUGCCCGCUGUCCAGGGCGCUGUUCCGGUGCCUCUCGGCUCUGGCUCCCUGUGCGCUCCUCCCAUGCGUGUUGGGGAGCUUGAGCCUGCUUCAGAUGCUGUCGGCGCUCGGGGCCGUAGCCCGGUCAGGCAGCAGCGGCCGGCCUUUGCCAGGCGCAUAUCGGCUUCACCACCCCUUUCUCCUACAACGGUGCUCUGA
rnacentral:rRNA from 1 species